AUGAAACCAAUCGAUUGCCCUCCGACCUAGUCAUUCCCAAAACACUGAAUGUAUUAUUUUACCAAAUGAUCGUGUCGAAUGCGUUCGUCAUAUUAAACAACGUGACGAGUGCGUUUCAUCUUGUCACAAUAAAACGAGUGCAUUGAGAUGAUUGAAAGACAUGGCAUACGAUAAUUGAAGGAAUGAAACCAACCCAUUGCUCUCCGACCAUUUCUAGAACGUUACAAACGUAUUUUUACCGGGUGACAUGCGAAAAAAAGUUGAACGUUUUAACUUUGUUUUCUUCUAUAUAUUUCUGUCUAUUUUACUAUGAGAUCUUCAAAAAAUUGUCGAACGAUUUUCUCUAACAAUCUACGAAGAUAUUUGGCGGCGAAAAUCCUCGAAAAAAAUUUAAACAAUUUUCUGUCGCUUUUUACGAAAUCAACUACAAAACAAAUUACAAGCAAAUUGCAACAAAAUAUGCGAAAUAUUUCACCUCAUCUGCAAAAUGCAACCGAACGAUUUUUCCUCGUUAUCUGCGAAAAAUCUUCGGAUUUCACCUCGUUAUCUACGAAAUAAUACUGAACAGUUUCACUCCGUUGUCACUGGAAAUAAUAAACUUGUACUUCAUCUACGUAAAUUACGAUUUUACCCAGUAAAGAAAAUUGCAAGGUUGUUUCACUUCAAAAACCCCAGAGGAAAAUUUUAACGAUUUUCACUCGCUAUAUAGGGAAAAGUUUCAAAGCAUUUUUAACAAACUCCACAAUCCGUGCAAGGGGUAAUUCACCUUGCUAUCUACAACAAAAUUGCCAAAUAAUUUCCCCUCGCUAUCUGCGAAACUGAAACCUUGUCAUUUCCUCACAAAAUCCCUGAGCUAAAAUUGCUGACUUUAUUAUGAAGUCUUCGAGAAAAAAUCGGAUCAAUUUUCUCUGGUUAUUUACGGAAAAUAUUUCGAAGCAUUUUUUGAAGCAUUGUUGAAUGUUUCAUUGCGUUAUGCACAAAAUAGUUACGACUCUACAAAAAAUUGAAAAGCGAGGUAAUUUCGCUAUGAAAUCCCCAAAAAGCUUGGUAAACGAUUCUACCUUACCUGCAAAAAUCGUUGAACAAAUUGCUUUCUUACCUACAAAAAGUGGUUAAAUGAUUUCAUUGGUCUAUCUUCAAAAUGCCAAGCGAGUUCACUUCGUUAUCUACGAAAAAUAAAUUGCCACGAAAUCCUCAAUAUUUGCGAAAUGAUUUCACGUAGUCUUCUCUGAAAAAUAAAUAAAUCGAUUGUCUUUAAGCCAAAUUUGGGAGGUACACGAAAAAUGCAAUCCUCGUGAAAAUCUCCUGAAACAAUUUCACUUUUCGCAAAUAAAUUGUGAAGCUAAAACGUUCAUCUUCAAAAACAGUUGCUCAAAGGUUUUGUGCUACUUUCUUGGGAAAAAUCUCGUAGGGAUAUUCCACACCGUCAUCUUAGAAAAACUGUUGAACUGAUGAAUCUGGCUGUAUGCUCAAGUAGAAGUAGCCUAGUGUUCUAAUGUAUACAGUGAGGCCUACUUAAGAAAAUUAAAGGAUUAUACAUUUAGUUAGGGCAUAGCUUGACCUUUCUGUGAAGCGAUGUAGGCUACUUUCAUGUUCUUUUGGUAAAUUUGCAAAAAUGUGUACUUACUUGGCCGAGUAAUGUUUUUCUUUUUGAGACAAUGCUUUUCUUUUCAUCUCGACAGCUGGACAACGAUGAGUCAUGACUUCCUCGCUACCUGUGUCGUGCUUGGUGGUUGAUGGUAAAUCGCAGAUAUUGAGUACUAAUCAGGCCAGAAAUGGCCAAGUGUUUUUCUUUUCAUCUCCACAGCUAGACGGGUCAGCCAGAUAAGAAGGGCCUCGCCACCUGUAUGUCUUGUUUAGAGAGGGGCAGCUUAUUCUGUCAAGAUGGACAUGUCUUGGAUGACGACAAGUGACCAGAAGCUGGAAGAACUGGCCGGAAACACUUUGCUCCGCUUGAUUUGCUUGCCAGUUAAAACCUGAAGUUCGGGAUUUCACCUCCAAGAUUGUGUCCAUCUCAUCAGCCGGGUGUGGAUCACUACAGUCGUCGCAGAUUUCCACCUACUAAACCUCCUAAAUGGCUAGCUCCCGGCAGAAUUUCCAGACCACCAAGGUUCUUGAGGGACUACGGAGAGGGAUGACACCGGUGACUGAACGCCGACGUUUCCCCCAUUAACCUAGGCCCACCUCAAUGGCUCUGCUAACCACGGAAGUUUGGGCAUGGACAUUUUAUAUGCUUACAGCACCAGCGCUGAAGUUCUGUGCUAGCUGGGUAAGCAGAGGCGAGUAUCCUUAGUUCCAUGCUAACCAGUGGUAUUUUCUCCAUCGGUAAGCAGUGCCAUUGAAUUGGGCCCAGGUCCUCAUAACACGCUCAGACAGUGGCUCCACGUGGAAAGGACCGACACUGGUUUAGUUUUUAGUUUUAGCAAGUUAAAUACCAAGGCCAAAAAUGUUUCUAAACCAGUUUGUUUCAAACCCUUGUUAGCUUUUUGAGUCCGACAAAUGCAUAGUGCGAAGCUGUGUACUGAAGACAUGAGAAAAUGUUCCCUUUCAGUUCCGACUUACAAAUUCUUAAGUCGUACAACAGGUGCGAGGACGAGUCAGGAACGUUGAACUCAUGGUGUUCACAGUACAGCUUCGUAGUAUCGCUCCUUACUCUGCUGACACAAAUACAGUUGAACGUUUAUAGGGUCAUUAUGAGGGGACCUAUUUCUAAAAAUUACAAUACAUCACGUAAGGUUUAAAGAAUUAAAACUCUGGAACGUAUAGAGGACAACUUUUCGAUUAUGUUCACUCUUUUGGAGCUAGGUUUGUGUCUGAUAAAGAGUUUUUUCACUCGGCCUAUAUAAUGAAAAUUCCCCUUUGAAGAGUAACUUAACUUGAAUUCUUUUUAAGGGAGAUGAGGAACAUUGACGAGAGGUUUUCGACUUUUGUUACAUUCAGAGAGUAUUCAAGAUAUUUCUUUAAUUUUACACUAUUUAUUCUAUUAAGUAUCCAGCAAGAAAUGAGACCGAGGGGUGGCUCUUAUAUGUCCAGUUGCUAUACACACUCUAGACUAUUGUUACCUAGCACAUCCCCCCUCAGAUGUCUGAAAAGAAUUCCUGAGAUUCAAGUGAAACAAUUGGUCGUUGUUCAUUUAUUUCCACAGUUUUGCAUGAACACAAUCUAAAUUUUCAAAAACUACAAUGACCAACACAAAGCAAGGGGGGGUUCGCUCCGUCUCAUUUCUUGCUUCAUAAUGAUUAAGUACCAAGAAGCUACUUAAAGGAUCAUUAUUUGUUUUCAGUGUUUCAAAAAGUUUUUAAAAAUCCUUGCCCAAAAUUACACAUUGAUACUGCUACAGUUCAGCAAGGGGCACUGUUCACGAAAUCACUUCUUGGCUUAGUGGUUUUUCUGCUUUUAGCCCAUCCCGUGAUUCACAUGCACGAUUAGACUGAGAACGCCAUGAAUUACCAAGCUCAAAUGAUGUACCCAGUGUAAACUUACGAAAAAAAAUGGCAAAAUAGGUAAAUUUCAAAAGGCCAUGAUGACCUUUGUCAUUAGUUCACGGGCGUCGCCAGAAGGUCGGGUGUUCAUAGAAGGUGUCGCCCCUUUAUGCCAGUUUUGUCAAAAUCGUGGUUCCGGGUUUCCGACAAGAAUGGAUAAGGAAAGCGGGAGGGGACAUCAGGCUACGGGUUACACCUUCGAACUAAACCGAGGGUUAGUUGGCAAUUUGAAUGAUAGCACCCCCCCCUUCAAAAGGGUCUAGCGACGCCCGUUUGCCAUUGGCAGAAAUUACGCUUUGCCUAAAACUCUCGAAACCAUUAGUUAACUAGUUAAAUUAAAACCAUUAAUUGUUAAAACUUUUAAUGGCCAUUAAAAAGCCGAUUUUUAGCACUGCAUUGUAAGGUGUAAAUACCUGUACGGACUUGAAUUUGCAAUAAACAAAAGAAAUGAACGAGGUAUAAAA